rnacentral:rRNA from 1 species
UUGAUCUCAAAUCAGGUAGGACUACCCGCUGAACUUAAGCAUAUCAAUAAGCGGAGGAAAAGAAACUAACAAGGAUUCCCCUAGUAACUGCGAGUGAAGCGGGAAGAGCUCAAAUUUGAAAUCUGGCGUGCCUCUGGUCGUCCGAGUUGUAGUCUGGAGAAGCGUUUUCCGUGUUGGACCGUGUACAAGUCUCUUGGAACAGGGCGUCAUAGAGGGUGAGAAUCCCGUCUUUGACACGGACUACCAAUGCUUUGUGAUGCGCUCUCAAAGAGUCGAGUUGUUUGGGAAUGCAGCUCAAAAUGGGUGGUAAAUUCCAUCUAAAGCUAAAUAUAGGCGAGAGACCGAUAGCGAACAAGUACCGUGAGGGAAAGAUGAAAAGCACUUUGGAAAGAGAGUUAAACAGUACGUGAAAUUGCUGAAAGGGAA